GGUAUUGAAAUAAGAUUUUAAAUGAGUGCUAAGAGAAUGAUUAAACAAUUAAAAGCUUUCUUUAAUUAAAAAAUUAAAUUUAAUUUUUUUAGUGCAAAAGCAAAAAUAAAAUUUAGGGACAAGAAGACCCUAUGAAUUUUUAUUGUUAAUANACUAAAAUUUAAGUUAUUAAUAAUUUAAUUGGGGCGAUAAAAAAAGAAUAAGUAUCUUUUUAGUUAUAAAAUAAGUUCCGUUUUUAGCGAUUAAAUGAAAUAAAUACUCUAGGGAUAACAGCGUAAUAAUUUUGGAUAGUUCAUAUAGAUAAAAUAGUUUGCGACCUCGAUGUUGGAUUAGGAUUCU
rnacentral:rRNA from 1 species